GGGGUUGUGGCUCAGCGGUAGAGUGCUCAUCUUGCACAUGAGAGGCCCUGGGUUCGAUUCUCAGCACCACA
rnacentral:tRNA from 1 species